CCUACGGGAGGCAGCAGUGAGGAAUAUUGGUCAAUGGGCGCGAGCCUGAACCAGCCAAGUAGCGUGAAGGAUGACUGCCCUACGGGUUGUAAACUUCUUUUAUAAAGGAAUAAAGUGAGGCACGUGUGCCUUUUUGUAUGUACCUUAUGAAUAAGGAUCGGCUAACUCCGUGCCAGCAGCCGCGGUAAUACGGAGGAUCCGAGCGUUAUCCGGAUUUAUUGGGGUUAAAGGGAGCGUCGAUGGGUUGUUAAGUCAGUUGUGAAAGUUUGCGGCUCAACCGUAAAAUUGCAAUUGAUACUGGCGGCCUUGAGUGCAGUUGAGGUAGGCGGAAUUCGUGGUGUAGCGGUGAAAUGCUUAGAUAUCACGAAGAACUCCGAUUGCGAAGGCAGCUUACUAAACUGCCACUGACGUUGAUGCUCGAAAGUGUGGGUAUCGAACAGGAUUAGAUACCCGGGUAGUC
rnacentral:rRNA from 1 species